CAGCAGCCGCGGUAAUACCGGCGGCCCGAGUGGUGGCCGCUAUUAUUGGGCCUAAAGCGUCCGUAGCCGGGCUGGUAAGUCCUCCGGGAAAUCUGGUCGCUUAACGAUCAGACUUCCGGAGGAUACUGCUGGCCUAGGGACCGGGAGAGGCCGAGGGUAUUCCCGGGGUAGGGGUGAAAUCCUGUAAUCCCGGGAGGACCACCUGUGGCGAAGGCGCUCGGCUGGAACGGGUCCGACGGUGAGGGACGAAGGCCAGGGGAGCGAACCGGAUUAGAUGCCCGGGUAGUCCUGGCUGUAAACGAUGCGGACUAGGUGUCGGGCAAGCUAAGGGCUUGUCCGGUGCCGCAGGGAAGCCGUUAAGUCCGCCGCCUGGGGAGUACGGCCGCAAGGCUGAAACUUAAAGGAAUUGGCGGG
rnacentral:rRNA from 1 species